rnacentral:rRNA from 1 species
UUUAACCGACGUAACGCUGGCGGCAGGCUUAACACAUGCAAGUCGAGCGCCCCGCAAGGGGAGCGGCAGACGGGUGAUUAACGCGUGGGAACGUACCUUUUGCUACGGAAUAACUCAGGGAAACUUGUGCUAAUACCGUAUGUGCCCUUCGGGGGAAAGAUUUAUCGGCAAAGGAUCGGCCCGCGUUGGAUUACCUAUUUGGUGAGGUAAAGGCUCACCAAGGCGACAAUCCUUACCUGGUCUGAAAGGAUGAUCACCCACGCUGGGACUGACACCCGGCCCAAACUCCUACGGAAGGAACCGGGGGGUAAUAUUGGACAAUGUGCCCACCCCGGAUCCAGCCUUCCAAAGUAAAA